rnacentral:tRNA from 1 species
GGGGUUGUAGCUCAAUGAUAGAGUGCUUGCCUAGCAUGCAUGAGGCACUGGGUUUGAUCCUCAGCACCACCU